AACGAACGCUGGCAGCAUGCCUAACACAUGCAAGUCGAACGAGACCUUCGGGUCUAGUGGCGCACGGGUGCGUAACGCGUGGGAACCUGCCCUUAGGUUCGGAAUAACUCCCCGAAAGGGGUGCUAAUACCGGAUAAUGUCUUCGGACCAAAGAUUUAUCGCCUUUGGAUGGGCCCGCGUUGGAUUAGCUAGUUGGUAGGGUAAAAGCCUACCAAGGCGACGAUCCAUAGCUGGUCUGAGAGGAUGAUCCGCCACACUGGGACUGAGACACGGCCCAGACUCCUACGGGAGGCAGCAGUGGGGAAUAUUGGACAAUGGGCGAAAGCCUGAUCCAGCAAUGCCGCGUGAGUGAUGAAGGCCUUAGGGUUGUAAAGCUCUUUUACCCGGGAUGAUAAUGACAGUACCGGGAGAAUAAGCUCCGGCUAACUCCGUG
rnacentral:rRNA from 1 species